GGCGCGGGCCGCAGUAGAAGUCUGCGGGUACCCGGUGUGAGGUUCUCGUUGGCGUAGCGGUCUCCGCUCCGGCGGUUUUCUGUCGCCUUGGCGCCAAGGCUUGCAAAAGACUUGAAGCCGUGGCACGAGCUGACCACAGCCCUGUAGCAGCAUGAAGACACUGGCCUAGCAAGGCUUCAUGGACCAACCUGUGAGGGGGAUGUUACAAACGAGGUGCCUGUGACCCAUGUCUGGUAUUAAUAUUGGAAUGUGAUGCCAUCAAUGGAGUUCUUUCAUGGGUUUUGGAGUGAUUCCAGAGGCAGGGGUCGUGGCAAGGAAAGGGUGUGUUGGGCAUAGAGGGGCUGAAGACUUGAUGGUAUAUUCCAGCAAGUGCCUGAAAUCCUGGUGCCUGAGGUUGUUCAGGACAACUCAAUUAUCCCUUAAAGGAACCGGAUGAUUUGUCUCUAUGAAAAUACCAUGUAUAGUAAAUACCAAUACUCUUUGUAGUGUAGUUCUGGGCUAUCCUUUUCCUGGGAAAGAUUUUGACCUGUCAGCUCCAUGGUCCUGGGAGAAGUCCACCUCUAAUAGGCAGAAACAGGUGUGACUGACUCUUCCAAGGCAGAAAGGCUUUGCAUGAAGACACUGAGGCAGGGCUUGGUCAGGUACGUGGCUCCUGAAGUGAAAGCUGACAUGAAACAAUGCAAGUUUUUCUUGUAUCCUGAACGAUGCUCCUGUGCUACUUUGCAAGCUCUAUGUUGAAAAUGCCUUACUCCUAAGCAAAUUGUAGAGAUGCACAAAUGGAAGGUGUUUUCAGGAUAUACUUAGUUGUAGUUGGGAGGGAAGGAGGCUAAAUAGUCCUGUAGGGUUGGUGUGCUCCUUUUGGAGUGGGACAACCUAAGAAUAUGAACUAAUUGGUGCUCAUGACAGCAGGUAAGCUUGUGAUCUUCAUGGCUUCUGUCCUUCCAGGUCAAAGUCAUGCCUUAAGUGUAGCUGAUAGACAAGGGACUGGGGAGAAUCAAAGUUUCUGGAUUGGGAACAAAUGUUUCCUUUCUUUGUAGUGUUUGGGACCUAAGAAUGCUUUACAAUCUCCAGCCAUAGGAGUGCUAGAAUGUCUCUAUACCAAAUAGAACUUAAGUAUGUUUACUUGUCACCUUAGUGUCCUCGGGUAGUACAACUGACACACCUGGAAGGAAGCCAUGUUCUUUGUGUAUAAGGUUGUGUGCACUGAGCCCAGGCUUAUUUGGUUUCACUAGCUGGCUGUUUAGGGCUGGACUGCUGCAUAAGGAUGGUUCCUGGGGUAGGAGGUGGAUAUCUUGUGGUCUGAGGAUGUCCCCCUCCUACCCCAGGACUCUGUAGAGGUGAUUCCCUUAUCAGUGUGCACAGAAAUAUUCCUGAACCUUGGAGACGUUCCGGAUUGUGCCUAGGAUAGGACACAUUGCUAGAGUGCUCUGCAAAUACCUUCCAAGUUGAUACAUGCCUUGUAUUAAUCCUGCCUAUGAAGAAUGCCCUUUCAGACUAAAGUACCCAUCCUUGGGUUGAGGCUCCCAGUACAGAUGCAGAAUAACACUGAAGAGAGACUAAAUAUUCAAACACCUUCCACCAGACAGAUGGGGAAGGCUAGUGCAGUCUAUGGAUACCUGGGCUGUAGUACCUCUACCUGCUUGGUCCCCCCAGGAUUCUACAGUCAUGGCUUAUUUUGGAAGGUAUGUGUAAUUGGUGGAUUCAAAAGUGAUACUUCUGGCCAAAUUCUUCCUGAGUUUGAGCAGGGUAUCUGACAAGGACUUUCAGAAAAGGAGCCCUGACAAGAGUGAGGCUGAAGGGUGGUGUGUAUGAGACGUGGAAUUCUGUUGGGUUCAAGUAUUGAAGCCUUGACUCUAGACAUAAAGCUUAUUCCUUGCCAGGUAGUGGUUGAUGAGCAAAAUCCCUGUCUAUAGCUUGUUAGAUGACUUGACUAUUUAAAACCAUGCUUAAGCCAUUCUUGGAAAAGAGUGAAUUAUUACUGACCUUGUGGGAAGACCUCCGUGAUAAAUAUUGGGUGCAUCUGCUAAGCCAAAUCAAAC